CCUACGGGACGCAGCAGCCGCGGUAAUACGUAGGUGGCAAGCGUUGUCCGGAUUUAUUGGGCGUAAAGCGAGUGCAGGCGGUUCAAUAAGUCUGAUGUGAAAGCCUUCGGCUCAACCGGAGAAUUGCAUCAGAAACUGUUGAACUUGAGUGCAGAAGAGGAGAGUGGAACUCCAUGUGUAGCGGUGGAAUGCGUAGAUAUAUGGAAGAACACCAGUGGCGAAGGCGGCUCUCUGGUCUGCAACUGACGCUGAGGCUCGAAAGCAUGGGUAGCGAACAGGAUUAAAUACCCUAGUAGUCCCA
rnacentral:rRNA from 1 species